rnacentral:rRNA from 1 species
UACAGAGGGUGCAAGCGUUGUUCGGAAUUACUGGGCGUAAAGGGCGCGUAGGCGGCUUAGCAAGUCAGAUGUGAAAUCCCGGGGCUUAACUCCGGAAGUGCAUUUGAAACUGCUAAGCUUGAGUACUGUAGAGGAUGGCGGAAUACCCAGUGGAGAGGUGAAAUUCGUAGAUAUUGGGUGGAACACCGGUGGCGAAGGCGGCCAUCUGGGCAGUAACUGACGCUGAGGCGCGAAAGCGUGGGGAGCAAACAGG